rnacentral:rRNA from 1 species
CCUACGGGUGGCAGCAGUGGGGAAUAUUGGGCAAUGGGCGCAAGCCUGACCCAGCCAUGCCGCGUGAAGGAAGAAUGCUUUCGGGUUUUAAACCUCUUUUACAGGGGAAGUGCAGAAGACGGUACCCUGAAAACAAGCCACGGCUAACUACGUGCCAGCAGCCGCGGUAAUACGUAGGUGGCAAGCGUUGUCCGGAUUUACUGGGUGUAAAGGGCGUGUAGCCGGGAAGGCAAGUCAGAUGUGAAAUCUGGAGGCUCAACCUCCAAAUUGCAUUUGAAACUGUCUUUCUUGAGUACUGGAGAGGCAGACGGAAUUCCUGGUGUAGCGGUGAAAUGCGUAGAUAUAAGGAAGAACACCAGUGGCGAAGGCGGUCUGCUGGACAGCAACUGACGGUGAGGCGCGAAAGCGUGGGUAGCAAACAGGAUUAGAUACCCGAGUAGUC